rnacentral:tRNA from 1 species
GGUUCCAUAGUGUAGUCACGUCUGCUUAACACGCAGAAGGUCCUGGGUUCGAGCCCCAGUGGAACCA